AGGGUCUGGGUCUACAGGCUGGACAGUUGUUGGCGGAAGUGGCUCUGAUGCGGCUAGUUAGCCGCGGUAGCUGCUGAUAAUCAUGGUGCUAUCGGCUACCGGCGAAAAUAAGGGAGGAAACUGGGAGUGUUUAGGGCCACCUGCUGACGACUUGAAAGCCACCUUUAACAGAUGAAACACACCUGUGGAAUGAAGUCACAGAGGUAUGACGUGACCUUCAUGGCCAUGGACAGAAGCUUGUGGUCCUUUUGUGGGCAAUAAUCAUAAGAAGCUCAGGUACCCUGAUUUACCUCUGCACACAGAUCACACUACAGCUUCUGCUUUUGCUUCAUCAGCUUUAUUUAGCUCAAGAAUACAUACAGGAUGAAGAGUAAAAAGAAAAGAAAACAGUAUACAACCCCUCUCCCUCUGUGUAAAUCAUCGGGGGGAAAUAAUGAACAGAUCCUGCGUGACAGUAACAGGCCAAACAAUGUUUUUCACUGGGUGAGAAAAAGGCACAGACAGCUCUGGAAGAGGUAACACGUUUGAGAUAAAAUGGCAGUUUUACAGGGGGCAGGGAGUAGCACACAGACAGUUUGUAGUUUUUCAGAUAACGUGUGGAAAAGGAGAAGAUGAUUGUGGCCAAAUGAAAACAAUCCUCAACAUCAAAAUCACAAUAUUUCAUCAAACACUGCAACUGAAGGAUGCAAGCCUACUUUAAACUCAUUUAAUUUGAGGUAAAAUUUGUUAAAGUCAUAAAAUUUGAUCUUAAGGACAAAAAACAAAACUAAAUUCUAGUGUUUCAUCACAUUUUUACCAGCAUAUAAACAAGCUUACUCUACUGAUGCUUUAACUAACAAUAAUGGCAAGAUAAAUCGAUUAUAGAAAUAUAUAUAUGUUUAUAUAUAUAUAUAUAUAUUCAAAACCACAAUAAAAAAGGACAAAGCAAUACCCAUCAAACUUUUUUUUUAUUUUUUUUUUUUGCCGUUUGACCACACCCUCAGCAGGUUACCCACGGCUACGGGGACACGUCUGAAAGCCAAUUGAUCACCUCACAUUAGCUUAUAGAGAGUGUAAGAGAAGAUGAAGGGCACCCACCGGGCCCCUCGGGAUUAAAGAUUAGACAUGAAGAACAAUCUGCGACGAAGGGCGACUCAGGAUCUGAAGAGAACGCUGAAAUAAAACUAUCAGAACUUUCUAGUAAUUGCAUCAUUUAAAAAAAAAGAAAAAAAAAUGUUUACAAGUGUAUAAAAAACACAAAAA